AUACCCCAGUCACACGGGCGUGCCAAAGGUCCUUUGAAGUUAAGGAGCAUAGAGCUUUCAAAGGAACAUUAGUUCAAGGGAUAUGUGUCAGUGCUACACGGUCUCCGUUUAAGCUUUUAACAGAAACCGCAACGUAUCCUUAGCGCUGCCGUCGCCUCAAAAGUAAUAAAAAAUAUGGGCCCGAAUACGUCUUACAAUAAAUUUAUUGAGUAUUUUUUCUGCGAUAUUUACUUUUGUUUAAUACAUUGAAACAUCAAAACAAAAUGUACGCGUAGUUAGGUGGUUACUUUACCAAAUACAGAGGUAUUUAUUGUAAUGAUGGCCACCAUGUGCAUCGCUUCGUACACCGCAUGCUCGCGUCUAUCAUUCGUUGUUGCCCUUGCUUCAGCUUUGUUUGGUGUUCUCGCCUUGUUUGCUCAAAGCAAAGAUUGUGAAAAUGAGUGACGACGCUGAAGGUGUUACAAAAUAUGAAGUAGCGCUGGCAAUGGCUGCAGUGUCAUCGCUGGAACUAGACGUCGAGGCAGCAAGCAAUAAGGUGCGCGAUAUACGGCGGCGUCUCAUCGCAAACAAUUGCCUGCUGACGGCCCUCGCUUCAUCGCGGCGCGCAGUUCAGCGACGCCUCUGGGCCUAUCGUCGCCAUGAAGAAUGGUUUGAGAGAACUCUACCGAAUCUCGGCAGCCGGCACUUCAAACAGUCGUUCAGAGUAUCGGAAACGACAUUCAGAUACUUAGUUGACGUCUGCAGGCCAGCAAUGCAGCGGCAGACGACAAAUAUGCGCGAGUGCGUCGCUAUUGAAAAACGUGUGGCCGUCAGCUUGUACAAGCUGUGCUCGUGCGCGGAGGACAGAGCAGUUGCGGACAUCUUUGGCAUAGGUCGUUCCACUGUGAACGUCAUAUACAGGGAAUUUUGCGCCACAGUUGUUGCUACCCUCGAAAAGGAAUGGGUAAAAAUGCCUUCGCCGGACGAGAUGCCAGCUCACGUAAAGGAAUUUCAGGCAGCGUGUGACUUCCCGCAAGGCGUCGGGGCCCUGGACGGCUGCCACAUACCAGUAUCGCCGCCAAAGGAGCACGCCAGUGAUUAUUACAACUAUAAAGGCUGGUACAGCAUCAUAUUGCUUGCCCUGGUAGAUCAUAAGUACCUGUUCAGGUACGUAAAUGUCGGAUCACCAGGGCGCUGUCACGAUGCAUAUGUGUACCGGCAGUCUGCAUUGGCCGAUAUGGUUGAGGGACCAUUGUUCCAAGCGCCAGCAGCAAGAAUCAACGGAGUUGUUGUGCCACCAUUGAUCCUGUGCGACCAGGCAUUUCCGCUUACUGCUAACCUAAUGAAGCCCUUCAAGAGUUUCGGAGAGAACACUAGACACAGAUCAUACAAUUACAAUUUGUCAAGGUCCCGGAGGAUUGAGAAAACGCCUUUGGGAGGCUUAAAGCUAGAUUCCGGCUUGUGCUCAAAAAAAUGGAUGCAGACAUUGGGAAUGUCCCGAUGAUCAUAAGGGCAUGUUGUGUGCUGCACAAUAUAUGUGAGCACUUUUCAGACGCUCUUCCACAGCAGUGGCUGCACGAGUCUGAGAUCGAAAGCAUGCUCUAUGUGCAACCAGACCAUUGUACAGAUGUGCAAGUUGGAAGCGGACCAGAUGUUAGAGGAGCCCUUGUAGAAUAUUAUCGCCAGCGUGAAUGUCACUGAAGUUUGUGAUGUAGUGCCAUACGCUGGUGAAUGGCCACCUAUCUACAAAGAAGCUGGACUUAAGUAGCAUGGCAGUGUUCAGUUUACUGUGCUGCUCGUCAUUGUCCACUUGUAUGCAUACAUUUCCACCUUUUUUUUUCCUUUUUCACCUUUCUGUGAAAUGCAAAACAGUUUUUAAGUUGAACUAGCUAUGUUACUCAGUGACAGCGUGCUAGCAGGAUCAUCAUGUUGCUUCACAAGUUAUCUUUAUGGCAGUAGCAACAAAAGAAUGCAUUUAAACAAAGUUGCCUGGAUGGUUGUGUGCAUGACAGUGAUGUAAAAUAUCUUUACGGCAGUAGCAACAAAAGAACGCAUUUUAAACACAAAGUUGCCUGCAUGGUUGUGUGCAUGACAGUGAUGUAAAAUAGUUGAAAUUAUUUUGCAGUCCAUUGAUAUUUUUUUAGGCUAAGAAUAGCUGUGGUCUAUCCCACAAUAUUGGUGCUUAUGUUUGCUUUUUUUUUUUUCUUCUACUGCUGAGUGACCUUCAUGCCCCCUCGUUCAUGUUUUAUGGUACAACAGAGAUUGUGAAGCAAUCAACAUAUUGCAACAAGGGGUUGCUAAAGCGCUUCAUUCAUGUCUUGGUGUGACCACUUUAUUUGCUUACAAUAAUGUCAAACGUUUUCUUACGUGCUUGAAGUGCAAAACGGUAAAACAGUUAUUACUGAGGGCAAACAAAGGGUACAGUGAUCACUUGCGCUGAGCAGCACGUGCAGGCACUGAUCAUAUAAUGCAAUAACAGCGCAGCGCCAUGUACACGGUCCAAAAGUGCAAACCAGCAUUUAUAGGCAGGCUGCACUGCAACCACAGAACAGUCUUUAGAGGACAUGAUGCAAGCUGUACUAGCACAUGUAAACGUGGUGUGUAGCAGACAUUGACAAAAGCACUAAGCGUGGUUUAGCUAGUGAUCAUUAGGUGGCAACUCCGCUCUAGUGCAGCCAGUAGUUCCGACAAAUUUUUCCUUACCCCAUUUAUUCAAUUGCCAUUUUUGUUUAGUGAAGCAGCUGUUCCGUAUUAAAUGACAGGAGACUGGAUUCAUUGAAACCAUGUUUUGUCACUUUUAUACAUGCGUGUUGUCAAUUUGCACCAGCUGAAGCUGGCACUCCUGUAUAUUCACAAUAGAAAACAUCUAUUAGGGAAUGCUUACGCACUAGUAGAGAAUUGUAGCGUCAUGCACAGUGAAUGAAUUACAUACUUUUAUUUCGGGAAAAUUGUUGAGGGUAGGAGCAGUUUCCCAGACAUCUUCAGCACUUCAUUUCCUUAGGGACUGUUUUUGUCCUGGCAUUGAAGUUCUGUAUCUGGUUAUGGCGGUAACAGAUGCGUCGCUGGGGUUCCUUAGCAUCUUGUUUGUGAUUCCGAUCUUUCCUGGAACUGAUGCGGUGCACAGCUGCAUGGUUGCUCUGACCUCUGCUUCCUUGAUGGGCCUGUCCAUUGUGGUGUUAGCCUUCCCUUUGUAGGCUCCUAGCAGGAUCUGUGGGGCAAUGUAUAGGUAUCUAUUUUUGAUAUCCUCGAUCUCCUUAUCAAUGAGCAAGGGUUUGUGUAGGAUUUUAGUUAUACCUUGACUGCUUUCCCUUUUUGAUUUUGUAGGAUCGAGGAGUUGUCUUAGCAUCGACCACGUGUCUUUCCUAGCUUGCCGUUCAUGCUAUCGCACGUCUGGCCCCAUGGCUGUCUGGUAACGUAUGUCACGUGCUCUUCCAUUUUUUUGGAGAGUUUCGGUAUUCUUAGUCGGAGUUUCUGAUUGUUCCACCUCUUUGUGAGGCUGUUGUAGGCCUCCCAGAUAUACAGGAGUCCACUCUCCACUAUGCCAGUUUCUUCUACGGUGGGAAUUUCCGCAGUGACAGAUUCUAGGUGCCUCGAAUUUCUCUGUCCAUGAGACUGUCAUUGAUUGUUGUCGGGGCACUGUCAUUUAUGAUGUGCCUAAAUUUGUCCCAGUUGGCUGUCAAACAACCUGCAGCUGAUAGUUGCGAGCCUGUAAGCUGAGCUGUAUUACACUUUCAGCCUUCACUAGGCGCAAGGAGUAAACGACUAAUAGGUGGCAACAAAAGCAGGAAAAAGACCUGCCGUCAAUCUUUAUUAAAAUAUCGACUCAUCAGGUCAACAAGCUUUUCUUGGGCAUUUAUUUGCCACUCUUUCAGCACCAGCUCUUUCUUUGCAGCAUUUUCGAAUGUCUGCCGAAGCAGCUGUUGCUCAUUGAGCAAUUCCCGUUGGAACUCCCCUGUAGAAGGUAGCUUCCUCUUUCGAGGACGACGCUGGUUCUCAUUUUGUGUGAGCCGACUCUCCUGCGAUGGCCCCUCAUCUUCCGGUCCCGAUGUGGGUACUGCUUCCGAGGCUGGUGGCUCCAGCUGCCAUUGAUCUUGGCUGUGCUGUGGCGACUGGUA